rnacentral:rRNA from 1 species
UACGUAGGGUGCAGGCGUUAAUCGGAAUUACUGGGCGUAAAGCGUGCGCAGGCGGUUUGCUAAGACAGGUGUGAAAUCCCCGGGCUUAACCUGGGAACUGCGCUUGUAACUGGCAAGCUAGAGUGUGGCAGAGGGGGGUGGAAUUCCAGGUGUAGCAGUGAAAUGCGUAGAGAUGUGGAGGAACACCGAUGGCGAAGGCAGCCCCCUGGGCUAACACUGACGCUCAGGCACGAAAGCGUGGGGAGCAAACAGG